rnacentral:rRNA from 1 species
GGGCUGCAGUAUUUUGACUGUACAAAGGUAGCAUAAUCAAUAGUYUYUUAAUUGGUGACUUGUAUGAAAGAUUGGAUGAGAUAUAAACUGUCUYUAAUUGAUUUAUAAAAAUUAAUUUUUUAGUAAAAAAGCUAAAAUAAUUUUAAAAGACGAGAAGACCCUAUAGAGUUUAAUAUUUUAUUUAGUAAUUAUUAAWAUAUGUAAUUUUAAAAAUUAAAAUUAAAUGAAAUAUUUUGUUGGGGUGAUAAAAAAAUUAAAUUAACUUUUUUUGAUUGUAAACAUUAAUUUAUGGUUAAAUGAUCCAUUUAUAGUGAUUAAAAGAAAAAAUUACCUUAGGGAUAACAGCGUAAUUUUUUUUUUUAKUUCAAAWAGGAAAAAAAGUYYGCSMCCYCSWU